GCUACAUCUUUAGAAAGAUCUAAGGCUGCGACGGCCAACACAAGAUUUUAGUGAACGGAAAAUUAUGAGGGGAUAACUUCAAACUUAAAUUCUUUUGAUUCUUUAAUCUUCUGCAAACAGGACCAAUUUUGUGCCUCUGUGAUAAGUGGCUCUGACCCAAAGUGAAAGGGCAAAAUAAAAAGGCUUGAAGCUGCAACAACAUAUGAUGUAGUGUACAUGCUGAGAAAUUUGUUUCCUCUCUUUUUCAUUCCUGCAAAUAAAAUCUUUAGACUUCAUUUGAGACAUUCGCACAUCAGAUAUUCAGGUGCUUAUUAUGAAGUCAAUCUAGUUCUUUGCACCAGCUAUUGUUUAAUGGCUACUAUGACUGUGAAUUCUAUUGUUCUUAGGAUGUUUUGCUCAGACAUUUUCUGAAUCUAGUACAUUUUCUUGUUAGGCUCAUAGCUGCUUGUUCACCGUUAGCGUUUACAUCUCUAAUGUGUGAAUUUCUGUUUGACUUCAGACUCUUUUGAUUUGCUGAUUUAUUAAAUUAUCA
rnacentral:misc_RNA from 1 species